AUGGCUUCCUCGGCCUCCCUGCAGAGCUUCCUCCCGCCCUCGGCCCACGCGGCGACGUCAUCGUCCCGGCACCGGCCCAACCGCGCCCGCCCCUUCCAGUGCGCGGCCGUCUCCGCCCCGUCGUCGUCGGCCGCCUCGCCGUCGGCCUCGGCCGUCCCGGCGGAGCGGCUGGAGCCGCGGGUGGAGCAGCGGGAGGGCGGCUACUGGGUGCUCAAGGAGAAGUAUCGCACGAGCCUGAACCCGCAGGAGAAGGUGAAGCUGGGCAAGGAGCCCAUGGCGCUCUUCACGGAGGGCGGCAUCAAGGACCUAGCCAAGCUCCCCAUGGAGCAGAUCGACGCCGACAAGCUCACCAAGGAGGACGUCGACGUGCGGCUCAAGUGGCUCGGCCUCUUCCACCGCCGCAAGCAGCAGUAUGGGCGGUUCAUGAUGCGUCUGAAGCUGCCCAACGGCGUGACGACGAGCGAGCAGACGAGGUACCUGGCGAGCGUGAUCGAGAAGUACGGCAAGGAGGGCUGCGCCGACGUGACGACCCGGCAGAACUGGCAGAUCCGCGGCGUGACGCUGCCGGACGUGCCGGAGAUCCUGGACGGGCUCCGCUCCGUCGGCCUCACCAGCCUGCAGAGCGGCAUGGACAACGUGCGCAACCCCGUCGGCAGCCCGCUCGCCGGCAUCGACCCCCUCGAGAUCGUCGACACCCGCCCCUACACCAACCUCCUCUCCUCCUACAUCACCAAUAACUCCGAGGGCAACCUCGCCAUCACCAACCUUCCUAGGAAGUGGAACGUGUGCGUGAUCGGCACCCACGAUCUGUACGAGCACCCGCACAUCAACGACCUGGCGUACAUGCCGGCCGAGAAGGACGGCAAGUUCGGGUUCAACCUGCUGGUGGGCGGGUUCAUCAGCCCCAAGAGGUGGGGCGAGGCCCUGCCGCUCGACGCCUGGGUGCCCGGCGACGACAUCAUCCCGGUCUGCAAGGCCGUCCUCGAGGCGUUCCGCGACCUCGGCACCAGGGGCAACCGCCAGAAGACGCGCAUGAUGUGGCUCAUCGACGAGCUCGUAAGCUUCCCCCAAACUCUCGAAACGAAGCGGCAUAAGUCUUGGUUGAUGCGUAUGUAUGUGGUUCUGAACUUCUGGUGUUCCGGCGACGCAAUGCAGGGGAUGGAGGCGUUCCGGUCGGAGAUCGAGAAGAGGAUGCCGAACGGCGUGCUGGAGCGCGCGGCGGCGGAGGACCUGAUCGACAAGAAGUGGGAGCGGCGCGACUACCUCGGCGUGCACCCGCAGAAGCAGGAGGGGCUCUCCUUCGUCGGCCUGCACGUGCCCGUCGGCCGGCUGCAGGCCGCGGACAUGUUCGAGCUGGCCCGCCUCGCCGACGAGUACGGCUCCGGCGAGCUCCGCCUGACCGUGGAGCAGAACAUCGUGCUCCCCAACGUCAGGAACGAUAAGGUGGAGGCGCUGCUGGCGGAGCCGCUGCUGCAGAAGUUCUCGGCGCACCCGUCGCUGCUGAUGAAGGGGCUGGUGGCGUGCACCGGCAACCAGUUCUGCGGGCAGGCCAUCAUCGAGACCAAGGCGCGGGCGCUGCAGGUGACGCGCGACGUGGAGGCGCGCGUGUCCGUGCCCAAGGCGGUGCGCAUGCACUGGACGGGCUGCCCCAACAGCUGCGCGCAGGUGCAGGUGGCCGACAUCGGCUUCAUGGGCUGCCUCACCAAGAACAGCAGCGGCAAGAUCGUCGAGGCGGCGGACAUCUUCGUCGGUGGCCGCGUCGGCAGUGACUCGCACCUCACGGGGGUGUACAAGAAGGCCGUGCCGUGCGAGGACCUGGUGCCCAUCGUCGCCGACCUCUUGGUGGAGCGGUUCGGGGCCGUGCCCAGGGAGAGGGAGGAGGACGAGGAGUAG
rnacentral:rRNA from 1 species